rnacentral:rRNA from 1 species
GUGCCAGCAGCCGUGGUAAUACCAGCAGCCCGAGUGAUGGCCGAUAUUAUUGGGCCUAAAGCGUCCGUAGCUGGCUGCGCAAGUCCGUCGGGAAAUCCACUCGCCCAACGAGUGGGCGUCCGACGGAAACUGCACAGCUUGGGACCGGAAGGCUCGAAGGGUACGUUCGGGGUAGGAGUGAAAUCCCAUAAUCCCGCACGGACCACCGAUGGCGAAAGCACUCCGAGAAAACGGAUCCGACAGUGAGGGACGAAAGCCAGGGUCUCCAACCGGAUUAGAAACCCUGGUAUCC